rnacentral:lncRNA from 1 species
UGUACUGGGGCAUAUAAAGUUUGCAAGUCCAAUGGGCCUCUCUUUGAGUUUGAGGCCAACAUGGUCUAAAGAGAGCAAGUUCUAGGAUAGCCAAGACUACACAGAUAAUCCCAGUCUUGAUAAAAGAUAAAGUUUAGUUGUUGCUAUUUCUAAUUUUCUGAAUUCUUAUGAGCCUAGCAUUCCACUCUCUAACUUACCUCAUUAGACACACAUAAUUCAUACAGAACUACAUUCAUUACGUCCAAUAAACAUGCCUCACUCAGCCUUUUAUUAUGUAUAUAUCUGAUCAUUAUUUCUUUUCAGACAUUAAUUUAAUAUAUUGUGUACAUAGAAAUAAGGCUCAAUGGGCUUUUGUUGAAUAGACAAAUGAAUAGUGGCUUUCUACCUCUUCCUCAAAGCAAAUGAUGAAUUUGGUACCAUUUUCUCAAAUCUUUAGGAAGCUCAGCUAGCGUGAUGUCAUGUCUUUCCAGAAUUAGUCGUGCUUAUAUUAUGUUGAAUUAACUUUUGCUACAAAAGAGAAGGCCAAGUCUGCAGUGUGUCUAGUAACAGGUUCUAGCAUCACUUUAAAGAGUAAAUGCAAACUCUCCUAGACUACAUUACUAGCUGCAGCAUGCACUGGCAAGGCUCUCACACUUGGUGCAUGUCUCCAGUGAGAACCCAAUCACACACAGUAAUUUAGAGAAUUGUGUGGAGUCCGUAUAUCAUUUCUACGAUCUUCUUAAAUGAAAAACUGUAUUGUUGCUGUGAAAGCACUGCUUAUGGAUAAUGCAUCCUUUUUUCUUACUCCACUGAGGCAUGAAGUAACUUCUAGUGAAAAUCAAAUCAAAACAAAACAAAACAAAACAAAAAAUCAACUUUAGUUGGUCAUGUUGUAGUUCAAGAAUAAACACAUCUCAGCUUCUAUUGGUUCUCUCUAUCCCUGUACCAGGCUGGCCUUGAACUUGGGAUAUCGCCUGCCUUUGCCUCCCAAAGGUGUACACCACCACUAACUGGCUAAGCUAAAAGAUCUUAUUUUUAUCUGGAAUAAGUCUAAAAUUCAUUAGUAUUGCUACUUAUAAUUUAACAAACAAACACAAUUGUUCAUCCAGACUUUAUAAGUUAUCCUUGGAAACAAACAUUGUUCCUUCCAUCCAUUUAGGUACUUGCCAAAAGUAGCCUAGUCUGCACCCAGAAGCAUAUGUAUAUUAUAUUUAAAUUGGGUUUUUGUGGGACUUAACAUAUGGCUAUGUUGCGGUCCUACACUAGUGUCACAGUCAUUAAUAUUCUGUUAUUGCAGUGAAAAUAUUUUUUAAAUUAGACAUUUUGUUUUAACUUAAUUAUUUUUUUUUUAAAAAGAGACUCAAUUUUCAUGGUUUGGAAUAACCACACUUACAAAACUUUGUCUGUUUUGCAAACAGUGGGAUUCCACCUGUAUUGAAUUUGUCAACAUAAUCACCAAAAAAGUAUCAAUUUGCAUGCAUGGACACUCCAGUUAAAAAGCUGGUCCUUUGGCACUGGACCUACUGCAGUGCCGAGGUGGAAAGCAAAACUGUAGAAGUAAAUUUUAUGCAUGGUAUGUGUGGAUAUGAGGAUUUCAAUUAGCAUUAAUAGAAGCUGCUCAGCUUCUUCCACAAAAACAGCUUUAGCUGGGUGUUUUUCAGGGUAAAUUACACUACCGUUUGUUUUUUCAAGGCAGCUGCCUGUAGUGAAUGCUUACUGCCAUUGCUGUGGGCCUUCUUGUGUCAGUAUACAGAAAUCUCAAUUUAAAGGAAAUAUUUUAUGGCCAGAAAUUUAGGAAGGAAGAAAAGGUGGGAUGAGGAAGAGGAAAAUGUAGACCAAAAUUGUAGUUCCUGUUUGCUGGUAUACAGCUGAGGUGGUUUUUCUCUCAUUUAAGCUGUGUCCUGUUAGACAAAAAAAAAAAAAAAAAAAAAAAUGGACUCUCAAAUUUUCCCCUGUAUGUAAUUAUUCUACAUCUCACAAAAUUUACUUUGGGAAGAUACAAAGCAAAUAUACCUCUCUAAAAUUAUAUAUAUAUAUAUAUAUAUAUAUAUAUAUACACAUACAUAUAUAUACACAUAUAUAUAUACAUAUAUAUACAUAUAUGUGUGUGUGUGUACAUAUAUAUGUACUCAGCUAUUCUUACCCAUAAGCAGCUUUGGCCUUUGUACCUGAGCAUGAGACUCUAAGGACCUGGGCUUGAAUUCUACACUGACACCUUAGCUGAAUAUGCAUAAUUUCAGUCCUGACUUUGGCAACAUUAGAAGAGGAAAAAUCAUGCUUAUUGUAGAAUAUUGUUAAACUUUAAUUAGACAAUACAUUUAUUAGAUACAUUAGCAAGCUUAACUUUUUUGCUACAUGCCAGUUAUUAUCCAUAAUUUAUAUUGACAGAUGUAAAUAUUUGUAGCUGACACUACCUUUUCAAACAUCUUUAUAAUAAUCUCUUCAAAUAUAUCUUUCUUUGUGUUAAGCUUUCUUUGUAUCAGCCACCGUUUAUAGUUUUGCUGCAGUAACUUUGCAUAACACAGAUUUGAACUCUACAACUUGUACCUGGUCUUCCACCAUGAAAUAGCUUCUCUGGCGCGUUUAUUUUAUGAAACAUGUUUAGGAGUAGUAGAGAGUCAACCUUUGCUCCUCAGAGCUAGUCUAAGAAGUGCUUUGGGAACCAUUUUGUUCUAAUCCCUUCCUCAUCUCCUGGCAGUAAAUUAAUUCCCAAGAGUUUAAUUCCCAGAGUAUAAAGAGUCUCCCAGUUUGGUUCCAUGACAGACAAGUAUGUUUGCUUUCUUUCUUAAAGGAAACCUUGGUGAAACAUUGUUCUCACCAACAUGUGUGUGAAGAAAAUAGUUUUAAAUUAAAUCCUACAAAAACUUAAUUCAAGGGUUUAUUUUUAGACUGUAAGUGACAUUUGUCUUGGGGAGACAUUUAAGACUUAUUCUUCUUAGAAAAGCUUAGAGGUUUAAUAUUUGUUUUUUGGGUUUUUUUUUUCAUUUUUCUCAGAAAACAUUAGUUUCAGAACGUUAGCCUCUCAUCAUUUAUUAGGCAUUUAUCAAAUACAAAACUGUCACUCUUGGUGUGGUUUUUCAGCAUGAAAUUACUGUGAAAAUAAAUAGAAAGUCACACUGAUGCUGCUAUUUAGUAUUCCUGUUUGGCAUUCAAUUACAUCUGC